rnacentral:lncRNA from 1 species
GCCGGCCAGACUCCAGAGGUAUAUCGGACAGUUUACGAUUUUUGAAAAACCUAAAUCGAUCAUUGCUUGUUCAUUCUCUUCUAAAUCGAUAUAUUAGAAAUCCCUAAAUCAGUAAAUCCCCUCACAAGUCCCAAUCUUGAACCUGGUUGCUGUCGACGGAUUUCACAUUUUCCGAUUUGGUUUCUCAUUUUCAGGUUUGCUUUCUCAUUUUUAUGCUUUUACUUGUUCAAUGUUGAGGAAACGGUUAAACGUAUUGUAGAAUGAUUAGAAUUCUUAAAUCUUUUGUUUUAAAACCGGUUAUGUUUGCAUAGUUUUUUUGUAUAAUAACUAGAGUGUCCCCCCCAACCAAUGACUAUAAUUUCUGGAUCUGCUGAAUAUAUAUGUCGAUAUGGAAUUGAUUGCAGUUACCUAUCUUGAUUUGAUCUCUCACCCUUUCUCAUAUUUAUUAUAGUUUGUUUAAAAAUUCCAACUGUUAUUAGAAUGGAAGGAAGCAUUUAUGAAAGUUUGUUGAUGAUAUGAGGGAGGGAGAAUGAAUUUAUUAAAUAGAAAGAAAACCCAUUCCCAUCGAUCGAUCUUCGCGAUCAUUUCCUCCAUUUGGAAACGCAUGUGGUUUUGAACCAAGCAUCAAGUUGAGGAGUGUGGGUGGGUCUGGGUCAGUGUUAUCUCUGUCAGAAGUCAUAUCACUGUACUCUCAUCCCAUCCAUUCAUUCUAUCCUCAUUAACUCCCUCCUGCAUCUUCAUCCUCUAAUCAUCAAACCAUUUAGAUUACCAAAAUACCCAAAUAUGCAUGCAGAUUGCAGGUGCAGACCUACAUGCAUGCACUGAACUUACAAAGCUCUUGGGUUGAUUUUGGGUAGAUUUUGUAAGCUUUCUAAAUGGGAGAAGAAGAAAAAUCAGUUGGGCAGUUUGCCAGUUUUGCGUGACGGCAUGGAGAAAUGCGCCGUCCAAAAAUGUGAAUCGAUCGACUGACUGGUCAUCGGAGAAUUGGGAGUGGAUCGGAAUGGAUCUGAGUGGGACCGUGGGUGAUGGUGGUUAAAUGGCCGGUUGGAAGACACGACACCAGGAAUCAUGUGCCUGUGUGGGUUCCUCCAUUCCUCCUCCUACUACUACUAAUUGAACUUAAGCAGUUAAGAGACAUCCCAACAUGAUGAAUUAAGCACAGACACGACCCAGGCAAACUAUGUUGACGAAGAAGAAUCAAGUUGAACAUGCUGUAGCUUUUUUCUAGGUAGACAAGCCUAUUCACAGGUGAUGUGUCGGUGCCAUGUUUAGGAUGUUCGGUAGCUGUUCUUUGAGUUUUUUCUUUUCUUUUUUACCUUGAUAUUUCUUCUUUACUGCAAAUAGUGCGGCAAACAUCAAUUAAUCAAUUAAGAUCAAGCAAUCAUCACCACCAUCAUCAUCUCAAUUUCUACCCUAAUUGUUCGAAUCCCAAACUGUGUAUCGUCAUCUACCUUUCCUUGUUUUCCACUCAUCAAAGUACACUUGGUACUUAUAAGAAGAGAGGGACGAGGAAGGAAUAGAGAAGGAGGAAGAAGAAGAAAUAGAGAGAAUGGGGAGGGGAUGGAGGAGGGCGUUCUGCACGUCGUCGGUGAGGAGAGAAGAGUUAGAAGACAGGGAGGAAGACACACAGAGGACUCCCUCACCAAGAAUCAACCUCUUCUCCGGGAAAAGUGUUAGCUACCCAAAUACUCCUAGCUUGCAAUGUCACUCUCCCAGUGAAGAUGCUCUCGUCACUCCGACUCCCGCUUUGCGGUGCCGGACGGCGAGGUCCAGCACGGUGGGGAUUGGCGGACCUGGUGUUGGUAGCAGCAGCAGCAACAGCAACAGUAGUAAUAGUAGAACAACGCAUGUGGUUACGUCUUCGCCUCAAACGACGGUAAUUAAACAACAACGGUUUCAGUCUCCAUGCUCUCCGUCGAGAUUUUCUCUUCUGAAGAAAUCACUGAGCCUCAACAAGGUACUGUUCCGUCGUUGCCGACGGUCGUAUAUUUUUUCCUUUGUUUUUUGUAAUUUGGGUUUGUGAUUUGCGCUGCAGAGUCGGUGUGGGAUAUGUUUGGAGAGCGUCAAGGCAAUGCAAGGAACGGCGAUCUACAUAGCGGAGUGCUCACAUUCGUUUCAUUUCCAUUGCAUCGCGGCUCAUGUUAGAAAAUACCAAACACUCGCAUGUCCGGUCUGUUCGGCUACGUGGUGUCAGGCGCCAAUCCUUACUGUUAUUCCUGCUUCCGAUGACGGAAACUGUGUUCCGUCAGUUCCGCAACAGGAUCGGUCGGUGGUGGUUGUUAAACCGGGAAGAGUGGCGUCUGCGGAGAUGGCGACGACGCCGACGAUGCCGACGACACCAACGAAGACGAGUGGUAAUAAAGGAUACAGUGACGAUGAGCCGUUGCUUUCUCUUGGCGGGAAUUCUACAUCCCGGUUUAAUCCCAUACCGGAAGCAGAGGUUGAAGAUGAUGAAGAGGAGAAACUUUCUGAUAACGAAUUCCAAGGGUUCUGCGUUUCUAUGAAUAACCGUUCGCCUUCUCCGCCGGAUCGUCAGGAGUUCCAACAACGGUACAGAUCCACUAGUCGGAAUUCUUCUCUUUCCGUUGAGAUCACGGCGAAUUCCGACGUCGCGCUCCUUACGACGGGACGUAAUCAUGAUAAGUACGUCGUUGCUGUCAAAGUGAAAGCACCGUCGAUCACUACCGGCAACCGUCGUGCUCCGAUUGAUCUGGUCAUCGUCGUCGACGUCGGUGGAGCGAUGACUGGAUCCAAAUUGCAAAUAUUGAAGCGCUCUAUCCGGCAAUUGAUAAUUUUGCUGACUCCUUCUGAUCGUCUUUCUCUCGUCGCCUUUGCUUCCAUCACCAAACGACUUUUACCGUUGAAAAAAAUGACGCCACAAGGUCAACGUUGCGCUCGUCGAAUCGUUGACAGGCUUGUGUCAACCAAUAGCGCCGGCAGUAUCGUAGGUGACGCUCUGCGUAAAGCAACUAGGGUUUUGGAAGACAGAAGAGAACGUAAUCCAGUCGGAAGCAUCAUGUUGCUUGCCGACGGGCAGAAUAACCAGCAGCAUUCUCCGGUUAAAGCUCCCAACCACCACCACGCGUCAUCUAUUUCCUGCAGGUCUUCUUCGACUACGGAUUCUGCCGGCACCCGAUUCGCACAUAUCGAAAUUCCGGUUCCCUCUCAAAACGUCGAGAAAGACAGCACCACAGAACCACCAGAAAACGCUUUUGCGAGGUGCGUCAGUGGACUUCUCAGUGUCGUCGUCCAAGAAGUCACUCUUAAACUUAACAUCUCCGCCGGAGAAUUAUCUUCCGUUUGUUCUAUCGGAAGUCAACCGAUGGCUUCGACAAAUGACACCGGAAUUGUUCACCUCGGCGAUCUUUACGCCGAAGAGGAGAGAGAUCUUCUUAUCGAAAUUAGAGUCCCAUCUACUCUCGUACAAUUCGAUCUGAAUGUGAACUGCAAUCUGAAAGAUGCGGUGACGCAAGACGAGGUGGUGGGCGUGGACCAGUCACUACCCGUGACAUUACCUGGUGGAAUGAGGUCAGGCAACAAUCGACAGCAACGGAAGCAGAUGAGUGCGAAGGCGGAGAAGAUUCGAAACAUAUUUGUAACGACACGUGCGAUAACGGAGGCGAGAAGACUGACGGUAUCGAACGACAUGGAAACAGCGUUGCACCUUCUAUUAUCUGCCAGGGCGUUGCUGCUGCAGACGACGGUAGUGUCAACGGACGAGAAUUUGAAGGCGGUGGAUGCAGAGCUUGUGGAGUUACGAAGGAGAAGGCAGAGGAUUAGUAGAAGAGAAGAAGGGAGAAAUGCAUUUCUUCCGGAGGCGGUUGCGCCAGUGACAGAUGGAGGAAUCGGGGAGGCAUUGACGCCUACUUCAGCAUGGCGGGCGGCCGAGAGGUUGGCCAAGUUGGCGAUGAUGAAGAAAUCAUUAAACCGGGUUAGCGAUUUGCAUGGGUUCGAGGACGCCCGGUUCUAGAAGCAGAUCCGGAGGCGUCUCUGGUUUUUAUUCCGGUCUAGAUGUUUUUUUUUACAGAACCUCCGAAGCCCGAUUGGGGAUGAAUGAUUUUCCAUUUAUUGAAGGACUAUGGAAGAUAAAAUAAUAAUAAUAAUGGAGAAAAUAAUAAUAAUAAUGGAGAAAAUAAUGAAAAAUCGAAGAUUCGAAGAGGAAGGUUUCCAAAUUUUCAAUUUUCAAUUUCCACUUUCAAAAUUUCAAUUAAAUGAUGUAAAAAAUUUAUUUCGUCCCCUAAAUAGUAAAUACUAACGUAUACCGAAAUUCAAUUCAUAUACGGAAUUAACGAUACAUAAGAUAUUAAAUGUGAUCUUUGUCUAUUGAUGGGUUAUAUACUUAUAGAGUGAUAAGUGAAAACCCACUGUUUGAAAAUUAAUUUGAAAAUGGGUUAAAUUUUUUAUUUUAAUUAUUCAUUUAUUUUUAAUUUUAACUCAUAUAGUCAAGUGGUUCAUCAGAUUGGAUGCUCUAACAACAUUUUAAUUUUAGAUAUUAAAAUUAGGUGGAAUUCAACAUUUCAAACGUUAAAAAUUGCAUUGAAAAAACGGUAUUCACUAAGUUCCUAGAGCCUUUGCACGUGUUCAGAUUCAUUGACUGUAAAAAUCGACCAAGUUAUGAAUUAUAUUUGAUAUUAUAUUUUUGAUUGUGAAACGGUAAGCAUCAAUUAUAUUUGAUAUCGCACAUACAUUACAAGUAUUUAUAUUUUUUUUUUUGAUAAAUUACGUAAUAUAUAAGUAAAUAAAAAUUAAAAUACAUAUUGAGAUUCGAAUUUUAAAUUUUUAACAAUUCAGUUACCUUAAUAAUGACAGAUUGACAGUUACAACCCUAUGUUAAUCGAGUUGUGUAUUACAAGUAUUUAUAGAGAUAGAAAUUAAAAACUAAUUAUCUACGUAACAAAAAAUAAUUAUAGAACUCAAAUAGAAAUAGAAUACAAGUAUUCAUUAUAAGUACAAACUAGAAUCUAAUCAACCUACUCUAACAACUAUUAAUUAUAGAUAAAAAAAAUUUAGUUACAAACUUACAAUUGUAAACAAACAUUAACAAACAUCCACUUCUUCAGUAAACAACUAAAACAUAUACAUAAAUUUAAAAACAAUUGCAAAUUUUCAAACAAGUUUUGUAAAAAUAAUGGAAACAAUGGUGGUAACUGGUAAGUAAUGACACUGCAAUUUGAUGAUGCAAGUGAAGACCAUCAUGCAGUGUUACCGACAAGUAGUGAAGAAUGUGCCGGCAAGGAAUUUCUUGCUCUUAUUUUAGUUAGAAAAGGUGUGGGAGGAAUGCAGUACUGCUGAUAAAUAUUUAGUAUAGACAUGUAAAGACUAUAAAUACAUACCUCUAUGGAUAAAUAUCUCAACUAAAGGAAAGGCGCUUUUAACUUUAGUUUUUCUUAACUUUCUCUACCUUGGCUUUAAUCUUCUCUUUCAAUAUUUCAUUCUCGGUGUCUAAAUCGAACAUCCUGUUAAGGGCACUCAUAUUUUCAAUAGUUUCAAUAUCACCAUCACAUCUCAGAUGUUGCAAAGGUCCGUGAAGAAGUUUAUUUAUGAUGGCAUUACUCAUUUCUUCUACAGCUUUCCUGGUUUUCUUUGUUAGAGCUUCAUCUCCUAUUUUAUCCAGGCAUUUAAAAAGCUCUGCAUUCUUAAUUCUAUCUGCAUAUGCCCUC